rnacentral:tmRNA from 1 species
GGGGCCGACUGGUUUUGACAGCAUAGGGCAGGGUAUGUAAGCAUGUCGUGCGUUGGAUAAUUAGCACGUAAAUCUGAAUAUUCGAACUUCAAAUGGCGAAUCUAACUACGCCAUGGCUGCCUAAUUAAAUUAGCGCAACCAUUUUGGCCGCAGACGGGCCUUUGCCUGUUGUCGCUCCUGCCGCCUAACUCAAACUUCAACAGGAUAGUAAUUGCAUUGCUGCGGUGCGAUUAUGAAACAACAGCAGCUAGGGAAGUGAUAAGUUUGUCCGGUUCUGGUCACUUUCCGAAAUCCAAUUCCGGAAUAAACAUGUAGAAAGCGUAUCGGGCAUAUGUUUGGACGCGGGUUCGAAUCCCGCCGGCUCCACUU